rnacentral:sRNA from 1 species
AUAAAUGCGAGGACUCAGAAAGAUGCCACUCAUAUCCUCCCUUCCAGUUUCACUUUAAGAUGUCUUCUAGUGGGACAUAGUUAGAGGUUGAGAGGAACAGCAGUCCCUGUGUUGAUGGAUUGAGGCAGUAACUCGAGGAGGAAGAUUUUCCUGCACAGAACUGCAGAGGCUUGGGGAGAGAGAGGACACACUGGGAUGACUCUGAGAUCCUAACCUGAGUGUCUUGGUGGACAGUGGCCUCACUAAAUGAGAUGGACUAUAAGAAGAGGAACAGAUUAAGGGGACAGUGAUUGGUUGGAUUUUGGGUAGAAUUUGAGCUGUCUUGGGUACUUUUGGCAGAGAACUUGAGUAGGCAGUUGGAAGUAUGCACUUGGAGUUCACAAAAGAACUGUUGGGAGCUGGAGGUGUCGAUUUAUGAGUUACUGGACUGUGGGUGACAGUGGGGCCGAGGGAAGGAUGCGAUUGGCCAAGGCGAGCAUGGAGGACAGGGGCUCUCUACCAGGAAGAUGGGCACUGGCCCUGAGGCUCUUAGGAAGCGCCUCCUAAAG